rnacentral:tRNA from 2 species
GCGGGUGUAGCUCAGUGGUAGAGCAUUUCCUUGCCAAGGAAAGGGUCGUGGGUUCGAAUCCCAUCACCCGCU